GGCAUCCUGACCUUAUGCGUGUCUAUCAGUGACCCUACACCAUACUGUGUGAUUUGGUAACCAUAUAUAUAUAUAUAUAUAUAUUGGAGGGGAAGUCUAGUACCAGCAGCCGCUGUAAAUCCAGCUCCAAAAGCAUAUAUUAAAGUUGCUGUAUUUAAAAAGCCCGUAGCUGAACCUGGGUUGUGCAGUCGCAUGCCGUUGCUUGUUCGCGGUUUUGAUAACUAUCAGAAUUUGUGUUCGGCUUGGUAUAGUGGAUGUGCAGCCUUUCAGCCGUGUCUGUGUAAACGGGUGCUGACGGAGAUUAGUGAAUUUGUCUUACCCGCUAUCUGUUGGCAUGCUCAUGGAUGCCUUUAAAAGGGUGUUGGAAGCAGAUGGCAUCUAUAUUUUGAACAAAUGUGAGGCCUUUUUGCCUAGAAAUUCUUGCAUGGAAUAAUGAAAUAGGACUUCGGUUCUAUUUAGUUGGUCCUCGGAUCCGAAGUAAUGGCUAAGAGGGAAAGACGGGGGCUUUUGUAUGGUGGUGUUAGACGUGAAGUCUUGGGAUCAUCGCUAGACAAAAUACAGAGAAAACAUUUGCCAGAAAUGUUUUCAUUGAUCAGAAGCGAAAGUCAGAGUUUCCAAGAUGAUCACAAAUGAUGCCAACUGACGAUUUGCGAUGGUUAUAUAACUGACAUUGCGGGCAGUCCCCUGGACACUAGACAUGUAUUAUCUGCGAAAUCUAGAUCUUCU
rnacentral:ncRNA from 1 species